GACGAACGCUGGCGGCGUGCUUAACACAUGCAAGUCGAACGAUGAAGCCAGCUUGCUGGUGGAUUAGUGGCGCACGGGUGAGUAACACGUGGGUGAUCUGCCCCAAACUUUGGGAUAAGCCUGGGAAACUGGGUCUAAUACCGAAUAUGACCGAUACUCGCAUGGGUGUUGGUGGAAAGCUCCGGCGGUUUGGGAUGGGCCCGCGGCCUAUCAGCUUGUUGGUGGGGUAAUGGCCUACCAAGGCGACGACGGGUAGCCGGCCUGAGAGGGCGACCGGCCACACUGGGACGGGGACACGGCCCAGACUCCUAUGGGAGGCAGCAGUGGGGAAUAUUGCACAAUGGGCGCAAGCCUGAUGCAGCGACGCCGCGUGAGGGAUGACGGCCUUCGGGUUGUAAACCUCUUUCACCAGGGACGAAGCGAAAGGGACGGUACCUGGAGAAGAAACACCGGCCAACUACGU
rnacentral:rRNA from 1 species